UACAGAGGUCCCAAGCGUUGUUCGGAUUCAUUGGGCGUAAAGGGCGUGUAGGCGGCGCCGUAAGUCGGGUGUGAAAUCUCGGGGCUUAACUCCGAAACUGCAUUCGAUACUGCGGUGCUUGAGGACUGGAGAGGAGACUGGAAUUCAUGGUGUAGCAGUGAAAUGCGUAGAGAUCAUGAGGAAGACCAGUGGCGAAGGCGGGUCUCUGGACAGUUCCUGACGCUGAGACACGAAGGCCAGGGGAGCAAACGGG
rnacentral:rRNA from 1 species